rnacentral:rRNA from 1 species
ACGGGAGGCAGCAGUGGGGAAUAUUGGGCAAUGGGGGCAACCCUGACCCAGCGACGCCGCGUGAGGGAAGAAGGUUUUCGGAUUGUAAACCUCUGUCUUUGGUGACGAUAAUGACGGUAACCAUGGAGGAAGCCACGGCUAACUACGUGCCAGCAGCCGCGGUAAUACGUAGGUGGCAAGCGUUGUCCGGAAUUACUGGGUGUAAAGGGAGCGCAGGCGGGACUGCAAGUUGGAUGUGAAAUACCGGAGCUCAACUCCGGGGCUGCAUCCAAAACUGUAGUUCUUGAGUGGAGUAGAGGUAAGCGGAAUUCCGAGUGUAGCGGUGAAAUGCGUAGAUAUUCGGAGGAACACCAGUGGCGAAGGCGGCUUACUGGGCUCUAACUGACGCUGAGGCUCGAAAGCGUGGGGAGCAAACAGGAUUAGAUACCCUGGUA